rnacentral:rRNA from 1 species
CGGACGGGUGAGUAACGCGUGGGUAACCUGCCUCAUACAGGGGGAUAACAGUUAGAAAUGACUGCUAAUACCGCAUAAGACCACAGCACCGCAUGGUGCAGGGGUAAAAACUCCGGUGGUAUGAGAUGGACCCGCGUCUGAUUAGGUAGUUGGUGGGGUAACGGCCUACCAAGCCGACGAUCAGUAGCCGACCUGAGAGGGUGACCGGCCACAUUGAGACUGAGACACGGCCCAA